AACGUAGGUGGCAAGCGUUAUCCGGAUUCACUGGGCGUAAAGCGCAUGCAGGUGGCACAGUAAGUAGGGCAUGAAAACUCCUGGCUUAACUGGGAGAGGCUGUCCUAGACUGCUGAGCUUGGGGAUGGGAGAGGGAAGUGGAAUUGCCGGUGUAGUGGUGAAAUGCGUAGAGAUCGGCAGGAACACCCGUGGCGAAAGCGGCUUCCUGGCCCAUUCCUGACACUCAGAUGCGAAAGCUAGGGGAGCGAACGGG
rnacentral:rRNA from 1 species